UUGCUACUCUGCCGGCGAGCGGCGGACGGGUGAGUAAAGUCUGGGRAUCUGGCUUAUGGAGGGGGAUAACCAUUGGAAACGGUGGCUAAUACCGCAUGAUGUCGCAAGACCAAAGUGGGGGACCUUARGGCCUCACGCCAUGAGAUGAACCCAGAUGAGAUUAGCUAGUAGGUGCGGUAAUGGCGUACCUAGGCGACGAUCUCUAGCUGGUCUGAGAGGAUGACCAGCCACACUGGAACUGAGAGACGGUCCAGACUCCUACGGGAGGCAGCAGUGGGGAAUAUUGCACAAUGGGCGGAAGCCUGAUGCAGCCAUGCCGCGUGUGUGAAGAAGGCCUUAGGGUUGUAAAGCACUUUCAGCGGGGAGGAAGGCGGUAAGAGUAAUAUGCUUAUCRAUUGACGUUACCCGCAAAAGAAGCACCGGCUAACUCCGUGCCAGCAGCCGCGGUAAUACGGAGGGUGCGAGCGUUAAUCGGAAUAACUGGGCGUAAAGRGCAUGUAGGCGGUAAGUUAAGUCAGAUGUGAAAUCCCCGAGCUUAACUUGGGAACGGCAUUUGAGACUGGCUGGCUAGAGUUUUGUAGAGGGGGGUAGAAUUCCAGGUGUAGCGGUGAAAUGCGUAGAGAUCUGGAGGAAUACCGGUGGCGAAGGCGGCCCCCUGGACAAGGACUGACGCUGAGGUGCGAAAGCGUGGGUAGCAAACAGGAUUAGAUACCCUGGUAGUCCACGCUGUAAACGAUGUCGAUUUGGAGGUUGUGACCUAGUGUUAUGG
rnacentral:rRNA from 1 species